GAUUGAAGCCUGACAAGAUGAAAGACCUACACAAUUCUUCAGGAAGGGAAAAAAGUACAAUAAUCUACACAAGCAAUUGAUAUCAAGUGCAACCUUCAAGAACUGGAGACAAGAAAAGAUUCCAUAUACAGGUGCUGCCUGACCUACUGAGUGAUUCCAGCAUUUCCUGUUUUUAUUUCAAAUUUCCAACACCAGUAAGGUUUCUCCCCCAAUUUUCACCUUUGCUGGGCUGUUCACAAUGUCCACAUGCACUUGGGUGUCUGGUCCAAAACUACUCAAACUUAGGGGUGCAUUUAGACAAGCACUCCUCACCUUUAGGUUCUUCAACAAAACCACACAGAAACUAAGCAUGUCAAUAACACCGCAGUUCAAACCACCCACCGUCUUCUCAGGCACCUUCCUCCUCACAAAAUAGCAUCAGUGAAUCUUCGAACAGGCUCACAUGCCACCUCAGGACCCAUAAAAUUCAUCACUAAGCAAGUCAUCCCUGAAGGAUUUCUAACCGAAGAAACCUCUGCAACCUUUUACAUAGAUUCAUAAUUGUCACUCUCUGCCACGAAUCUUUUGGCCUUUUAAUGAACCAUCCGAGCACUUUGAUUAGGUUCCACCUAAUAAAUUAAUCUGGGAUGCGAAUUAUGAUUAGACUUCUAUCUGGUUUUAUUCCUGUGUAUCAGUAAAUUACCCUAACACCUGCAUGACAUCUACAUCUGCAACGUUCUUCUGUUAUUUUUCACUGAGCUUGUCACAAGUGUCAAGGAUAAAUUGUGUGCUUUCAAGGAUACUGUCCUUAAUAAAUAUGCCAAAAGAAACAUUAAAAAUUGCUGACACAAAGCAGAAACUAUUUCCCUCAUCAGAACUUGUGUUCCAUGUCAAGAAAAAAAAUCAUUAAUUUUUCACUGAUCGUAAAUCUGCCUCCAA